rnacentral:tRNA from 1 species
GGGUAUAGCUCAGUGGUAGAGUGUGUGUCUAGCUUGCACAAUCCCUGGGUUCAAUCCCUAGUACCGCCA